rnacentral:rRNA from 1 species
UGUGUAGGCGGUUUUCUAAGUUUGGUGUGAAAUCUCCCGGCUCAACCGGGAGGGUGCGCCGAAAACUGGGAGACUAGAGUGCGGGAUGGGAGAGUAGAAUUCCUGGUGUAGCGGUGAAAUGCGUAGAUAUCAGGAGGAAUACCGGUGGUGUAGACGGCUCUCUGGACCGCCACUGACGCUGAGACACGAAAGCGUGGGUAAGCAAACA